rnacentral:rRNA from 1 species
GUGCCAGCAGCCGCGGUAAGACGGAGGGGGCAAGCGUUGUCCGGACUCACUGGGCGUAAAGCGCACGUAGGCGGUCGUCUGCGUCCCUGCUGAAAGCGCCAGGCUUAACCUGGCGAGGCGUGCCGAUACGAGACGACUUGAGGCAGGCAGAGGAUGGCGGAAUUCCGGGUGUAGUGGAGAAAUGCGUAGAGAUCCGGAGGAACGGGUGUGGCGCAAGCGGCCAUCUGGGCCUGACCUGACGCUGAGGUGCGUUAGCGUGGGGAGCGAACCGGAUUAGAUACCCGGGUAGUCC